rnacentral:misc_RNA from 1 species
UUUCCGUAGGUGAACCUGCGGAAGGAUCAUUAUUGUAUAACCGAGGUGCGAGGGCUGUCGCUGACCCGAAAGGUCGUGCACGCCCGAGUGCCCUCACACACAUCCAUCUCACCCCUAUGUGCACCACCGCGUGGGUCCCCCUUUGGCUUGUUCGGAGGGGGGCUUACGUUUUCACACAAACUUUGUAUGCAGUGUAGAAUGUAUUUUUUGUUUUUGCGAUCACGCAAUCAAUACAACUUUCAACAACGGAUCUCUUGGCUCUCGCAUCGAUGAAACGCAGC